rnacentral:rRNA from 1 species
AUUGAACGCUGGCGGCAGGCCUAACACAUGCAAGUCGAACGAGUGGCGGACGGGUGAGUAAUGUCUGGGAAACUGCCUGAUGGAGGGGGAUAACUACUGGAAACGGUAGCUAAUACCGCAUACCAUCGGAUGUGCCCAGAUGGGAUUAGCUAGUAGGUUGGGUAAAGGCUCACCUAGGCGCCGAUCCCUAGCUGGUCUGAGAGGAUGACCAGCCACACUGGAACUGAGACACGGUCCAGACUCCUACGGGGGGCAGCAGUGGGGAAGAUUGCAAAAGGGGCGCAAGCCUGAUGCAGCCAUGCCGCGUGUAUGAAGAAGGCCUUCGGGUGGUAAAGUACUGGCAGCGGGGAGGCGUUACCCGCAGAAGAAGCACCGGCUAACUCCGUGCCAGCAGCCGGGGUAAUAC